rnacentral:rRNA from 1 species
GAUGAACGCUAGCUACAGGCUUAACACAUGCAAGUCGAGGGGAAACGGCAUUUAGUGCUUGCACCGAAUGGACGUCGACCGGCGCACGGGUGAGUAACGCGUAUCCAACCUACCCAUUACUGUGGGAUAACCUGCCGAAAGGCAGACUAAUACCGCAUAGUCUUCGAUGACGGCAUCAGAUUUGAAGUAAAGAUUUAUCGGUAAUGGAUGGGGAUGCGUCUGAUUAGCUUGUUGGCGGGGUAACGGCCCACCAAGGCGACGAUCAGUAGGGGUUCUGAGAGGAAGGUCCCCCACAUUGGAACUGAGACACGGUCCAAACUCCUACGGGAGGCAGCAGUGAGGAAUAUUGGUCAAUGGACGAGAGUCUGAACCAGCCAAGUAGCGUGCAGGAUGACGGCCCUAUGGGUUGUAAACUGCUUUUGUAUGGGGAUAAAGUCAAUCACGUGUGAUUGUUUGCAGGUACCAUACGAAUAAGGACCGGCUAAUUCCGUGCCAGCAGCCGCGGUAAUACGGAAGGUCCGGGCGUUAUCCGGAUUUAUUGGGUUUAGAGGGAGCGUAGGCCGGAGAUUAAGUGUGUUGUGAAAUGUAGACGCUCAACGUCUGACUUGCAGCGCAUACUGGUUUCCUUGAGUACGCACAACGUUGGCGGAAUUCGUCGUGUAGCGGUGAAAUGCUUAGAUAUGACGAAGAACUCCGAUUGCGAAGGCAGCUGACGGGAGCGCAACUGACGCUUAAGCUCGAAGGUGCGGGUAUCGAACAGG